GAUGAAGAACGUAGCAAAAUGCGAUAAGUAAUGUGAAUUGCAGAAUUCCGUGAAUCAUCGAAUCUUUGAACGCACAUUGCGCCCCUUGGUAUUCCAUGGGGCAUGCCUGUUCGAGCGUCAUUUGUACCUUCAAGCUUUGCUUGGUGUUGGGUGUUUGUCUCGCCUUUGCGUGUAGACUCGCCUUAAAAUAAUUGGCAGCCGGCGUAUUGAUUUCGGAGCGCAGUACAUCUCGCGCUUUGCACUCAUAACGACAGCGUCCAAAAGUACAUUUUACACUCUUGACCUCGGAUCAGGUAGGGAUACCCGCUGAACUUAAGCAUAUCAAUAAGCGGAGGA
rnacentral:misc_RNA from 1 species